AUUACAGGAAGUAGAUGCUGUAUUACUUUCAGAAGCAGCACGUUGAGAGCGUGAGACCAAGAGAGAAGCACGAUGGUUGAAUUCAGAUGGAUUAUAAUGUCUUUAUUUAUGAUGCUGGUGUUUGGGUUUCCAGGUUCGAGGUGAUGAUGAAGACGAUGCAGUGACCUACAUGAAAGUGAAAGCUUCCUCUUCUUCUGCUGGAGCCUCAGCUGAACCCAGCAGCCUCUAUGCCACCAUCAACUAACACCGCCCCUCCCACCCCCCAAAAAACAGGCAUUACUAAUUGAAUGCAACAUGUUGUUUUGUCCUUAAAAGAGCUGGGACUCCCUCUAGAGGUGGAGAGAGUGAACAAUGGAGGCAGACAUGUUGGAUAUUCUAUAUAUUGUAUUUUUUAUACUCUGUCUCUAUAUAGACAGAAUAAAUUUUAGUUUUUAUCUUAAUGUUAAACAUUCUUUGUUUACAUUCUUCUUAAUACUGUGUUCCUGCAUGGGUAUAAUGUUGUAAUUAAGUUUAUAACAGUACUUCCUGUUUGCCCUUUAAUCCACCAUUUAAGUGAGUGCUUUUUGUUUGUUUUAAACAUGUUUGAUUACCCAUGCCAUGUCCACCAUUUUCUAUGCUUUACUGAAUAAAUAAUUAGUCCCACAAUAUUGCACUGCACACAUUUUGAGCACAAAACAACUUCCUGCUCUGGAUCAGACAUUUCGCAUUAAAUGCCUAAAAUUAAAACUUUAGUGCUGCUAGUGUUAACAGCUGAUGAGAGUUGUUCUGGGUCCGCUCCACUUCAGAGCACUGACAGGGUUCUACCAGGAGCCGAAGUACCUCUGAGGUCUUCUCCUCUCCAAAACAAAGGGACAUGAUCAUUAAAACAUUAAAACACAGACACAUAGCAGCGUUGACAUUAGGCCUGUGGUGUGUUUACAGCUUAAAGCUGAUCCAGAUCUGCCAGAGAACGCAUCGUAACUUUUACUUUUUAUUUAUCAGCAGGGGUGGUGAUGAUGCCGCAGGGGAUAAAACACAUGCCUUUGGUGUGAAAGACCUGGAUUUGAAUAACACUUAACCUCUAGUUGCUCCGGAGAAUCUGGACCUGAUGUGGCCCAUUCUGCGUCCAGACUUGCCAAACUGCUGCGUUUAUAUAAAGUGUUUAUUUCUUUGUUCAUUUCUCUGUGAUGCAGUUUUUUUAAGAUCUCGGAGGAUUUAUCCCGAUUAUUAUUAAAGAGUGUGUUAAAAAACAUGCAGUGUGUCAAGCUUAUUACUUCAAUAUAUUCCCAGCAAAUCUGACGUUAAUACAUACUGUUUUUACAUCGA